rnacentral:rRNA from 3 species
UUGACCUCAAAUCAGGUAGGACUACCCGCUGAACUUAAGCAUAUCAAUAAGCGGAGGAAAAGAAACUAACAAGGAUUCCCCUAGUAACUGCGAGUGAAGCGGGAAAAGCUCAAAUUUGAAAUCUGGCGGUUCUUGAACUGUCCGAGUUGUAAUCUAGAGAAGUGUUACCUGUGCUGAACCGUGUACAAGUCUCCUGGAAUGGAGCAUCAUAGAGGGUGAGAAUCCCGUCUUUGACAUGGACUGCCUGUACAUUAUGGUGCGCUCUCAAAGAGUCGAGUUGUUUGGGAAUGCAGCUCAAAAUGGGUGGUAAAUGCCAUCUAAAGCUAAAUAUUGGCGAGAGACCGAUAGCGAACAAGUACCGUGAGGGAAAGAUGAAAAGAACUUUGGAAAGAGAGUUAAACAGUACGUGAAAUUGCUGAAAGGGAAACGCUUGAAGUCAGUCACGUUGGCUAGAAAUCAGCCUUGCUCUUGCUUGGUGUACUUUCUGGUUGAUGGGUCAGCAUCAAUUUCGACCAUUGGAUAAAGUCUCUGGGAAUGUGGCAUCUUAGGAUGUGUUAUAGCCCAGGGUCGCAUACRGUGGUUGGGAUUGAGGAAUUCAGCACGCCGCAAGGCCGGGUUUCGACCACGUUCGUGCUUAGGAUGCUGGCAUAAUGGCUUUAAUCGACCCGUC